rnacentral:rRNA from 1 species
AGACCCGAAACCCGGUGAUCUAGCCAUGGGCAGGUUGAAGGUUGGGUAACACUAACUGGAGGACCGAACCGACUAAUGUUGAAAAAUUAGCGGAUGACCUGUGGCUGGGGGUGAAAGGCCAAUCAAACCGGGAGAUAGCUGGUUCUCCCCGAAAGCUAUUUAGGUAGCGCCUCGUGAAUUCAUCUCCGGGGGUAGAGCACUGUUUCGGCUAGGGGGCCAUCCCGGCUUACCAACCCGAUGCAAACUGCGAAUACCGGAGAAUGUUAUCACGGGAGACACACGGCGGGUGCUAACGUCCGUCGUGAAGAGGGAAACAACCCAGACCGCCAGCUAAGGUCCCAAAGUCAUGGUUAAGUGGGAAACGAUGUGGGAAGGCCCAGACAGCCAGGAUGUUGGCUUAGAAGCAGCCAUCAUUUAAAGAAAGCGUAAUAGCUCACUGGUCGAGUCGGCCUGCGCGGAAGAUGUAACGGGGCUAAACCAUGCACCGAAGCUGCGGCAGCGACGCUUAUGCGUUGUUGGGUAGGGGAGCGUUCUGUAAGCCUGUGAAGGUGUGUCGUGAGGCAUGCUGGAGGUAUCAGAAGUGCGAAUGCUGACAUAAGUAACGAUAAAGCGGGUGAAAAGCCCGCUCGCCGGAAGACCAAGGGUUCCUGUCCAACGUUAAUCGGGGCAGGGUGAGUCGACCCCUAAGGCGAGGCCGAAAGGCGUAGUCGAUGGGAAACGGGUUAAUAUUCCCGUACUUGGUGUUACUGCGAAGGGGGGACGGAGAAGGCUAUGUUGGCCGGGCGACGGUUGUCCCGGUUUAAGCGUGUAGGUGUGUGUUCCAGGUAAAUCCGGUUCACUUUAACACUGAGGCGUGAUGACGAGGCACUACGGUGCUGAAGUAACAAAUGCCCUGCUUCCAGGAAAAGCCUCUAAGCAUCAGGUAACAUCAAAUCGUACCCCAAACCGACACAGGUGGUCAGGUAGAGAAUACCAAGGCGCUUGAGAGAACUCGGGUGAAGGAACUAGGCAAAAUGGUGCCGUAACUUCGGGAGAAGGCACGCUGACACGUAGGUGAAGUGAUUUACUCACGGAGCUGAAGUCAGUCGAAGAUACCAGCUGGCUGCAACUGUUUAUUAAAAACA